CCUACGGGGGUCUGCAGUGGGGAAUAUUGGACAAUGGGCGAAAGCCUGAUCCAGCCAUGCCGCGUGUGUGAAGAAGGCCUUCGGGUUGUAAAGCACUUUCAGUGGGGAAGAAAGCCUUGGGGCUAAUACCCUCGAGGAAGGACAUCACCCACAGAAGAAGCACCGGCUAACUCCGUGCCAGCAGCCGCGGUAAUACGGAGGGUGCGAGCGUUAAUCGGAAUUACUGGGCGUAAAGCGCGCGUAGGCGGUCUGAUAAGCCGGUUGUGAAAGCCCCGGGCUCAACCUGGGAACGGCAUCCGGAACUGUCAGGCUAGAGUGCAGGAGAGGAAGGUAGAAUUCCCGGUGUAGCGGUGAAAUGCGUAGAGAUCGGGAGGAAUACCAGUGGCGAAGGCGGCCUUCUGGACUGACACUGACGCUGAGGUGCGAAAGCGUGGGUAGCAAACAGGAUUAGAUACCCCUGUAGUC
rnacentral:rRNA from 1 species